AAAACAUUCUACCCCCUAGUAAAGGAGAUUGAACAGGAACCAGGAACCAUAACACAAGUACCGCGAGGGAAUGUUGAAAUAGCGGUGAAAAGCCCAGUGAAGAAAUUUAAAGCAGAGACUUAACCUCGUACCUUUUGCAUCAUGAUUUAGCAAGCAAAUACUAAGCAAGAAGAACCUUAGUCUAGUGUGCCCGAAACUAGAUGAGCUACUCCAAGCCAGCAUAGACAUUUUAGUGCCCACCCGUCUCUGUAGCAAAAGAUGUGGGGAGAGCUUUGAGUAGUGGUGAUAAACCUAUCGGAUCUAGUAAUAGCUGGUUUUCUGAAAAGUAGAUAUUAGUUUAGCCUUUAAAUUUCCCUAUUCCCGAGCCCUUGGCAUUUUAAAUCUUUUCUAUAAACUGAUAAGGAUAACGAGAAAUUUAUAGAGUUAGUCAGACGGGUUCCAUCCCCUUUGAUUAGAGCAACAACUCCUGCUGAUAGGAUAAGGAUCAUAUUAACCAAGGUCUAAUAUUCAUGUGGGCCUGAAAGCAGCCAUCCCUUUAGAAAGCGUCAUAGCUCAAAUAGACCCUUACCAAAAAUAACGUGAAAAACUCCUAACCCAUCAAACUAUAUCAGAAUAUCUUAUUAUUUAAUAAGAGAAAUUAUGCUAAAAUUAGUAAUAAGAGGCCUGACCCUCUCCACGCACAAGUGUAACUCAUAAUGGACCCCCCAAUGAGAAAUAACGGCCCUAACAUCAGAAGGAAAAGGAAAUGAGAUUAAAUACUGGAAAAUCCCCCUAAUGAACCCGUUACCCCCACACUGGAGUGCCGCUAAGGAAAGAUGAACAUGAAGAGAAGGAAUUCGGCAAACUCAAGCCCGGCUGUUUACAAAAACACCGCCUCUUGAAAUACACUUAUAAGAGGUCGAACCUGCCCAAUGAUAAUUGAUUUAAUGGCCGCGGUAUUUUGACCGUGCUAAGGUAGCGUAAUCACUUGCCCCUUAAAUGGGAGCCAGUAUGAACGGUUUGACGAGGGCUUAACUGUCUCCUCUCCACCAUCAAUGAAAUUGAUCUCCCCGUGCAAAAGCGAGGAUUAACAUAUAAGACGAGAAGACCCUGUGGAGCUUAAGACAAAACUCUAGACCCCGCCAAAAAAUCUUAAUAAAGGACCAAGCAGAAAGUAGCUAGAGAUUAUCUUCAGUUGGGGCGACUGCGGGGAAAACAAAACCCCCGCGAAGACUAGGAAGACUAACUUCUUUAACCCUAGAACUACCCUUCAAAACAGUAGAACUUCUAACUUUUAUUGAUCCGACCCGUUGAUCAACGAAUAAAGUUACCCCAGGGAUAACAGCGCAAU
rnacentral:rRNA from 1 species